CGUAGGAGUUCGGACGAAGACUUUCUGCAGCCGAAGUUGGGGACGAAGUCCGGCUCCUAUAGGAGUCCGGACGAAGCCUUCCUGCAAUUGGAGUCGGGGAUGAAGUCUGGCUCCCGUAGGAGUCCGGACAAAGUCUUCCUGCAGUCGGAGUCGGGGAUGAAGUUCGGCUCCUAAGCCUUCCUGCAGUCAGAGUCAGGGAUGAAGUCCAGCUCCCGUAGGAGUCCGGACGAAGCCUUCCUGCAGUCGAAGUUGGGGACGAAGUCUGGCUCCUAUAGGAGUCCGUCUGUCGUGAAGAAUCUGAUCGACGCUGGUGGGGUUUUAUCCGUCGGUAGAACUUGGGAA
rnacentral:lncRNA from 1 species